rnacentral:misc_RNA from 1 species
GUAGAUGCUCGUCGUGUGGUUGAGGUACAAAUAUAUACAUUAUGGUUAUUCUUUUACAGCUGCAAGUUUUUCUUAAAUACAUGUUUCCUUUUUGUUGGGCCUGAGAUAGGAGGAAUGUGGGAAUUUUGUUGUUGGUGGGCUUGGUUAUGAUUGGGGUAACAUUAAAUUGAGAAACUUAAGUGGUUCAAUCAAUUGAUGGGGAUGCGUGAGAAAAUGUGUCAGGACACGUGCAGUUUGAUGUAAAUUGUGACUCCAUUUCAUUGUUAGAUCAAAUCAACCUUUCAUUUCAAAAUUCAAAUCAAACUCUAUUGAGCAACUUAAUUGUAAUUUUCCUUACAAAAUUGCACCUGUGUCAAGUAAAUUGUGAAACACAAAGAAUACGAUGAAAGUGAACUGAGUUCUAUUUUUCAGAACCCUGUCUUUAUAUUAUUAAAUUUGUCUGAAGUAACAGCAAUAGCUGGAAAAAUAUAAUAUUAAAUUAAAAGCAAACUCAUGCUUGCGUAGUGGAAUAGGCUUGCCUUAUGCUGCAAAGGUAAGGUAAGGUAAGGUUGAAAAAAUGAAGAAACUAAUUCAUUUACUUCAACAGAACAAACUGGUCUUGUAUUGUCAAAAUCUCAUGUAUUGUCAAAAUCUCAUGUCUUGUUUGUUAUCUUUGAUUUAAUGCUUGAUUUUCCAAGUUCAAGCAAAAAAGAUUUCAGGUUCAAGAUACUAAAAUGUACUUUCAAAUUUAAGUUCGAGUCUCUCUCUCUCUCUCUCUCU